rnacentral:rRNA from 1 species
CCACCACGGGGACGGGGCGCCCGCCGGAGGAAACCAAACUCUAUUUACACGACGUCUCUUCUGAGUGGCACAAGCAAAUAAUUAAAACUUUUAACAACGGAUCUCUUGGUUCUGGCAUCGAUGAAGAACGCAGCGAAAUGCGAUAAGUAAUGUGAAUUGCAGAAUUCAGUGAAUCAUCGAAUCUUUGAACGCACAUUGCGCUCGCCAGCAUUCUGGCGAGCAUGCCUGUUCGAGCGUCAUUUCAACCCUCAAGCACCGCUUGGUUUUGGGGCCCCACGGCCGACGUGGGCCCUUAAAGGUAGUGGCGGACCCUCCCGGAGCCUCCUUUGCGUAGUAACUAACGUCUCGCACUGGGAUCCGGAGGGACUCUUGCCGUUAAACCCCCAAAUUCUUUACAGGUUGACCUCGGAUCAGGUAGGA